CCUACGGGAGACAGCAGUGAGGAAUAUUGGUCAAUGGGCGUAAGCCUGAACCAGCCAAGUCGCGUGAGGGAUGAAGGUUCUAUGGAUCGUAAACCUCUUUUAUAAGGGAAUAAAGUGUGGGACGGGUCCUGUUUUGUAUGUACCUUAUGAAUAAGGAUCGGCUAACUCCGUGCCAGCAGCCGCGGUAAUACGGAGGAUCCGAGCGUUAUCCGGAUUUAUUGGGUUUAAAGGGUGCUUAGGCGGCAUUUUAAGUCAGCGGUGAAAGUCUGUGGCUCAACCAUAGAAUUGCCGUUGAAACUGGGAGGCUUGAGUAUGUUUGAGGUAGGCGGAAUGCGUGGUGUAGCGGUGAAAUGCUUAGAUAUCACGCAGAACCCCGAUUGCGAAGGCAGCCUGCCAAGCCAUGACUGACGCUGAUGCACGAAAGCGUGGGGAUCAAACAGGAUUAGAUACCCCAGUAGUC
rnacentral:rRNA from 1 species